GUCUCUUCGGAGACAUCCGAUAAAAUUGGAACGAUACACAAAAGAUUAGUAUGGCCCCUGCACAAAGAUGACACGCAGGAUAUGUUUGUUUUAGUUUUUAUUU